AUUGAACGCUGGCGGCAGGCUUAACACAUGCAAGUCGAGCGAGCGGCGGACGGGUGAGUAAUGUCUGGGAAAGUGCCUGAAGGGGGGGGAUAACUACUGGAAAAGGUAGCUAAUACCGAAUACCAUAAGAUGUGCCCAUAUGGGCUUAGCUAGUAGGUGGGGUCAUGGCUCACCUAGGAGACGAUCCCUAGCUGGUCUGAGAGGAUGCCCAGCCACACUGGAACGUAGACACGGUCCCGACUCCUACGGUAGGCAGCAGUGGGGAAUAUUGCACAAUGGGCGCAAGCCUGAUGCAUCCAUGCCGCGUGUGUGAAGAAGGCCUUCUGGUUGUAAAGCACUUUCAGCGAGGAGGCGUUACUCGCAGAAGAAGCACCGGCUAACUCCGUGCCAGCAGCCGCGGUAAUAC
rnacentral:rRNA from 1 species